GCCCUUGAAAUUUCUUUAUUUCUAUUUUACCCACGUGGUUUGUGAAAUUCGGUUGUAUUGGUUGUGCUUGCGGAAUGCAGAUGGAGGAAUUGGAGGAUGUGAUUAGCGUAGAUUCGAGCCGAUGUUGACGGUGGACGCGAAAAGGGCGCUGGUGGGAGCCUGUGCUCGGAUCCUGUCUUCACCCGACCCAUGUGUAUAAUGUGUUUAGGCACAAAAUCCAAUCUGAAUUCCGACGGCGGGACGAAGCUGAUCAGGUUUUUUUCUUUUAAUGAAGAAAAAGAUCGAUCUUUCUACGAUUUUAUUCGUGUUUGCUUGCUAAGAAAAAUCAAGAAUUUAUGGAAUUUGGUUGGGAAUAUUUAUCUAUAGAAGAUUUAGUUUUCCAUUAAACUGAGGAGAGAACUUUAUUUGUAUUCGAAUAGUGAAUAUUUAUUUUUCUGGAUACCAAUUGAAAUUCAAUACUCGAGCUUGUGCUGGAUAUAACUAUGUGAUCUAUUCUAUGUGAACACUUAAACUCAAUUGUUAAUUAGCAAUUUAAAUAACGACUUCUCCUAAUUUGAUGCAAUUUCUUUGCAUACAUACAAAGAUAAAACUUAGAAUUUCCCGCUGUUUUGUUCUUUUACUGGUUGUUUUGUGUGCUUAAAUUUGAUGAUGAUCAGAUUUUUACUAAAUAAAAGCAAUGCAGAAAACCUAUCAGCUGAAAGAAAAGCCUAAAUGAAGUUGAUAGUUUGUGCACCUGAACCCAAUUAGUUUCUGGAAGGAGGUUUAGUUGAACAUACUAGUUAUGCUUCUUUAUCUUAUUUUUGACAGGGAUUGAAAUUUGAACACCUUGUGUUUCCACAAGAGCUUCUCUCUUUGCUCCUCUUUUAAUGAAUAUCAACCAUGAAGGACAGAUCCAGUGGCACAAGUACUUAUGUUCAUUGUAAAGCCUGGCAAGGGAGGAGUACAACUAUCAUGCUUUGAAGAAACGAUCUUAUGCCUGUCUUAUUUGGGAUAUUUCAUCCCUACAAAUGGGUGGAUGAUAUGAGCUCAAAAUUUUCCUGAGCAUCAAACAUCUAUCUACUGUAGCAAGCCAUUUACUUCUUGUUCUUAUUUUGGCAUUGUCUGGUUGAUGACAUUAUCAGAUUGAGUUCACUACAUUUUGCAGGUCUAGAAGAACCUCAAAUGUUGCCUGCUUCAUCACAGUGGAAGAUAAUUAAUAAGAUUUCCUCAAAACUGUUUUACGGAGCAAUGUGAAUUAUUUUAGUAGAAGCUAUGCAAAUUCCUGGUUUGGUCCUUUCCCACAAGGAUUGAGGUUUGCAAGUGCUUGGGAGUCAUGAAAUGCUGUGUCAUUCUAAUGGGAUCUUCCUGCAUCUUGGAUUGAGCCAUUUUAAGCCAGUUCCAUGUGAUUUUAGGAUUUUUUUGAUAAAUGAGAAAGCAUCGACCACUUCCUACAGGACAUUCUGCCAUGGGGAUGUAUUUCUGAUGACUAAAGCAGAUCUGGAAGAAUAUAAUAGUGCAUGUGAUGAUGAAGCCAUUGGUAAGGAACUGCAAAUUGCCCCUAAAAUCAAGGCCAGGCGUAAGACGGCUACGGUGUCCUGUCUCAUUGCUUGCUUGAAAGUUUCUGGUGUGUGUGUACCUGUUGCAGGUCAGAUGCUUUUGGCACGUGCUUGCUGAGACCCUAAAUCCUUCAUGAACUUUUGUGAGUUUGUCUUUCAGUAAAUAGAAGCUUCGUGAAAAAAAAAAAAGAAUUUUACAUUAACCCUCUGUAUAUGGGAGAAAACUGAACAUAAAAGCUUGAAAUGGAUAAAUUCUUCAAAGUGUUGCAUGUGUCACAGUGAUAGCAGUCGAGAAACAAUCUGCAUCUUUUGUCCAUCAAUGUUGUUUACUUUCAUGAACUUGUAGUAGACAUUUGUGAAUUAUAACUUGGUUUCACUGGGCUCCAACAGGAGUUCAAACUUCGAAAUUCAUUAUUCCAAAGACCAUUCAAAUACCAUGUAGAAGUAAUUUAUUUUGCAGUU